CUGCAUUUUGCAUGAGCUAUCUAGGUCAUUAGCAUUUUAGCGUAUGCAAGACUUGACAAGGCUGAUGAGGGGCCAGAUGGGCCUCGCUCUUAUUUAUUUAUUUUUUUUUCUUUUCCUUUUUCCCAUCCACCACUUGGGACCUAAGCGAGAGGACCGCAGCAGGAGAGUUCCGGAAGGCUGAUUCCCAUAGAUCCUGGUAAGGGACCGCAGCAGCUCUGCCCUGCGGCACGCCCGGCCAGGCUACACCGGGACUCUACACUCAAGGAAAAAGCUUGGAAACGAAAGGAUGCGGGAGAACAAAGAGCCUACGGAGGACGUGGCUGUUAUCUCAUUGUCUGUGACUGGGGGAGCUGCGGUAGGAAGGAUGCGGUGGUCCUUAGCUCAUCGCGUUCCCCAACCCCACACCCUCCCUGCUGUCAGUGCGCACGCACACGCACGCGUCGCCAGCUUUUUCUUUCUCAUCUCUCAUUUUUUUCAUCUCAUCUUCUCCCCAUCCCCUCCCUUUCUUUCCACCUUUCCUUCCUUUCUUCCUCCCUUCCUUUCUCCCAUCCUCCCUCUCUUCCAUCCUUCCUUCCUUUCCAUCCUUCCUUCUUUCUUUCCUUCCUUCCUUCUUCCUUCCUCAGGAGAAAGGCCUCUCUCUCCGUGUUCACAGCGGACCUUGAU
ensembl:lincRNA Mir124a-1hg Mir124-1 host gene (non-protein coding)